GGUAGACUUAUACUUGAUGGGUCACCAGGAGAAUGCCAGUCUCCAUGGCCAAGCACUGGUGGCUUGCCUUUCCUCCCUGGCUUGUUGCUCACAAAUGUUUGCCUUUGAAGAUUUAGACAUGAAAGGCCUUAUAUCAUGAAUCUAAAACAAACAGAAACCAUGAUAGUGUGUGUGAGAGAGAGGCAGGGUGAGAGGGAGGGAAGUGCGCUGCCCAACCUCUGAAGUUUCACGGUUUCCCAUCACAAUUAUAUAUCAGCGCUGGGAUAGAGAGCUCAGGGCCAAACAGUUCUGGCAGACGUUCAACACUUUCCAUGCCUGUAAUCUGUCACGACCCAGGCAGCAGAGCACCAAUAACCAUACGCAGAGGCCAGAAUCUAUCUAAUAUCUUUAUUAAGGAAAUAUAUAAAGUUAAUAAAAGCAAGCGUAUGAAUUAGUCCAGGAGUAGACCUUUCAGGAAAGGUCAAAAUUAGUCCAAAGAAACAAUGUCCAAUAUGAAAUAUUAAGGUCCAAAGUUGUAAUCCAAUAACCAAAACACUCACUUGCCAAGCAAGUGAGGGGAGAUGACAAGGUCCUUUAGUCCAUGAACUUGAGCAAGGCUAGGAAAUAACUUGAUUCUUGGAACACAAGGCUUGAUUCAAGGCAACAAGGAAACGAGGAGCAAGAAUAGGAUCCGUGGAAUUACUUGGCGAGGUCCGGAAAACAAGGCAAGAUCCGGAGAGUAAAACAAGGCUGGAAACGAAGGCUUGAAAUCGGGAACAAGGCUUGAAACAGGAACGAGGCUUGGAAACGGAGUAGCUGUCCACACACGCUACUCCGGUAGCUGACGAAUUGACUCCGCAAGAUCCCUUUGUGGGUAAAACACCUAAAUAGGGUCCCGUUUUCCCGCCAAAGAGCAGUUCUCUGGAGAACCAGAAACGAAAGCUAUUCUCUGAGUCCAGAUGUGUGACUCCUUAAAGUUUCACAUGGAAAGCAGACUUAAUCAGCUGAAUGCUUAGCAGCUAUCCUCGCACUCCUGCGAGAGGCCGCUUGAACUCCCCUCUGUUGUUUACAAAACUCAUGGCGAGAAAACGUAGGAGAUUUAGGUUCAGGACUUGUUUGACAGACUUCUGGAAGACAAAUCUCUUGCAGGUGCAAGGUUUCCAAAUCUGGCUGGGAAAGUUCCAAUUCUGACUGAAACGGUGAAAAACCCAAGUUUUCCUCUUCAUCUAGCACAACAGUGCCAGGAACGGGACUACAUGGCCCAUGACUCAUCACAUAAUCCUGGAAAAGAAAAAGAAAAAGAAGAAGAAGAAAAAGGAGGACACUCAGGUGCCUGACCUGUUCUUCUGGACUCUGCUCAAUCAGAUUCCAGCCUCAGGUGUGCCGUUUGAUGUACAGUAGUUGUAUAUUGUUCACUGGAGAAUGUGAAGACAAGAAAUAAAGUAAGAAGAAGGAAAUAGGAAACUCAAGGAUAAAUAGCCAAAACUGUCUGUACUGCCAGCAUCUUCCCAUGAUGAAAAUGCCAAUACAAGCCACUGGAUAAGAGAAGGUGCGGUCAUUUUUCUUCUUUGCUUUCUCAACUCUACUAGACUGUAUACACAAGAGAUUGUGUUAUGCGUUUCAUCUACCAGAAUUGCUGACUGCUGACCAAGCUGCCUGGGACUUCUGGGAACAUGUGGAGGACCAAAAGUUGGGAGCCACAAUUGAGAUGACCAGAAGUGAACACAACGUUCUAGGAAAAUCCUGAGAGUGCCUUGGACUGCAAGAAGAUCCAACCAGUCCAUCAUCCAGGAAAUAAUGCCCGGCUGCUCACUGGAGGGAAGGAUACUAGAGGCAAAGAAGAAGUAUUUUGGCCACAUCAUGAGAAGACAGGAAAACUUGGAAAAGAUCAUGAUGCUGGGGAAAAUGGAAGGAAAAAGGAAGAGAGGCCGACCAAGGGCAAGAUGGAUGGAUGGUAUCCUUAAAGUAACUGGCUUGACUUUGAAGGAACUGGGGGCAGUGACGGUCGAUAGGGAGCUCUGGCAUGGACUGGUCCAUGAUGUCACGAAGAAUUGGAAACGACUGAACUAAUAAAGAAGACAUUCAUUCUUGGAAUUUCUAGCACCUCCAGUGCAGUUCUAAGAUCCGUAUCCACUGGAGGUUGCCCAUAGAGUCAUGCUGGCAGACCUAGAGAUUGCUAGAAAGAAAGCCUCUUUAGAGCCUCCUUCUUAAGGUACAUAGUCAUCUAGAGAUUUUAAUAGCUUUUUCCACAUUCAUGAGGCUCUGAGCCCCUAACUGCAGCCAAUGUGGAGGUCUGACAAUAACUGCCUUUGACUGAGGCAUAUUUUGGCCCAUCUAACCCAGUAAUGAGGACACUGACUGCUCAGAGUUUCAGGCAGAGAUGGCCAACAAUUGAACCUGGGACCCUCUUCAUGGAAAAUCUGUACUCCACAUCUGCACUUGAUGGGAUGUGCUUGCUGCUUGGGAAUCUCUCUGCCUCGAGCAACUGCUCCUUUGACAAUUAAGUUUCUGGCUGUAAUUAGGCACCUAGUUCGAGGUUGUGACUGAAGGCCAGGCCCUGGGAAAGGAGUGGUGUGAAAGCGGCAGUAGUGCCGGGAGGCACUUUGACUCAUAGAGGCCCCUUGUGAGUCAUACAAGCCCUUGCUCCAAGGGGUGAACAAAGGCACAGCUAUGCUACUGUGGCUGUCUCACAUUUAGCUAACCUGGCGGGUUAGGAGAUCAAGCCCUGUCCACUUUCCAGAGCUUGGGACAUGAUUUUUUAAAAAAGAAAUGUAGCCCCAUUAUUCACAUUCUCAUUCCAACAGUUGGCACUGGUUGCUGUUUGUUUGAAGUGCAACCCACGGCUUUCAUUUCUUGUUGCUUUUUCAGAACCUUACUCAAACAUACACACAACAAUCAUAGGUCACUCAAGCCUGGUAUUCCACUACAAUUGCAUUAUCAUUGAUAGAGGAUACAUACUGGAUAGAGCACCUUUCCUAUUGCACCUCUAUUUAUUAAGGAGCCUCCGGUGGCCUAGGGGAUAAAAGCCUUGUGACUUGAAGGUUGGGUUGCUGACCUGAAGGCGGCCAGGUUCGAAUCCUACCCGGGGAGAGCGCGGAUGAGCUCCCUCUAUCAGCUCCAGCUCCAUGCGGGGACAUGAGAGAAACCUCCCACAAGGAUGGUAAAACAUUAAAACAUCCGGGCAUCCCCUGGGCAACGUCCUUGCAGACAGCCAAUUCUCUCACUCCAGAAGCAACUCUGGUUGCUCCUGACAUGAAAAACAAAAACAAAAAACCCCUCUAUUUAUUCAUGCAAUUGUGCCAUUUGCAAUAGUUUUUAGCCUUCUCUGACAAAUAGUGCCAGAGCCUUACCAAACUACAGGUUUCAUGACACCAUGGUAUAGAUCCAUGGCAGUCAAAGUGGUGUCAAACUGCACGGCUGUGGCGCAGGCUGGUUAGCAGCCAGCUGCAAUAAAUCAUUAUGACCAAGAGGUCAUGAGUUCGAGGCUAGCCCGUGUCGGAGUGAGCACCCGACAAUUAAAAUAAAUAAAUAAAAAUAGCCCUACUCGUUGUUGACCUAAGCAACCCGAAAGACAGUUGCAUCUGUCAAGUAGAAAAAAUUAGGACCGCUUAUGCGGGGAGGCUAAUUUAACUGAUUUACAACACAGGAUGAGGAAGUACUCCAUCAAAAAAGAACUCCUCGUCACAGUGGAUGAUUAAGCAGCAUCUCCUCCUGUGGCCGGAAUCGAGCAUACCCUCACAAAGCCAGAAGCUGGGAAGUUAAAUAGCCUCUGUGUCUGUCUGUCUCUGUGUUGUUUGUCUAAUGGCAUUGUAUGUUUGCCAUGUAUGUACAUUGUGAUCCGCCCUGAGUCCCCUUCGGGGGUGAGACGGGCAGAAUAUAAAUACUGGAAAUAAAUAAAUAAAUAAAUAA